rnacentral:RNase_P_RNA from 1 species
AGCGGGUCAGGCAGCUGCGUGGCCUUUCGGCCAUGAGGAAAGUCCGAGCACCACAGGGCAGGAUAACGGCUAACGGCCGCCGAGGGUGACCUCAGGGAAAGUGCAACAGAGAGAUACCGCCGGUUCUUCCGGCAAGGGUGGAAAGGCGAGGUAAGAGCUCACCGGCGUGCGGGAGACCGCACGGCCAUGUAAACCCUAUCCGGUGCAACAUCAACAGGGAGCGACACAUUGGCCCGAUGUGCUUCCGACAGAUGGCUGGAGCGGCGCGGCAACGCGCCGUCGAGAUAGAUAGCUGUCCGCGACAGAACUCGGCUUAUCGUCUCACUCG